GCGGCCGUAGUCUAGUCUGGACGCCAGUUCUAGGCUGGAAUAGGAUCCAGGCCCUCCAAGCCUGAGACCCGGGUUCGAAGCCAGCGAGGUUUGAGCUGGCGAACAUCCCGGCGGCCGCACCA
rnacentral:tRNA from 1 species